GAGUUUGAUCCUGGCUCAGAACGAACGCUGGCGGCAUGCCUAAUACAUGCAAGUCGAACGAGAUCUUCGGAUCUAGUGGCGCACGGGUGCGUAACGCGUGGGAAUCUGCCCUUGGGUUCGGAAUAACUUCUGGAAACGGAAGCUAAUACCGGAUGAUGACGUAAGUCCAAAGAUUUAUCGCCCAAGGAUGAGCCCGCGUAGGAUUAGCUAGUUGGUGGGGUAAAGGCCCACCAAGGCGACGAUCCUUAGCUGGUCUGAGAGGAUGAUCAGCCACACUGGGACUGAGACACGGCCCAGACUCCUACGGGAGGCAGCAGUAGGGAAUAUUGGACAAUGGGCGCAAGCCUGAUCCAGCAAUGCCGCGUGAGUGAUGAAGGCCUUAGGGUUGUAAAGCUCUUUUACCCGGGAUGAUAAUGACAGUACCGGGAGAAUAAGCUCCGGCUAACUCCGUG
rnacentral:rRNA from 1 species